GGAUGCGAUCAUACCAGCACUAAAGCACCGGAUCCCAUCAAAACUUCGAAGUUAAGCGUGCUUGGGCGAGAGUAGUACUAGGAUGGGUGACCUCCUGGGAAGUCCUCGUGUUGCAUUCU
rnacentral:rRNA from 1 species